GAUGGCGUUGUGUUUAAUAGCAAAUUGACUAGUUCGAUAUUGGAAUAACAAUCAUUUUAAUUUUUGGCACUGACCUCAGACAAGUUGAGGUUACAAAAGCGUUCAAUUUUGGAAUACUCAUUUUAAUCUUUGGCACUGACCUCAGACAAGUAAAGCUUACAAAAGAUUUAUUGUUACGAAGUUUUGCGAUGAAAGAGACGAGUGAAGUAGAUGUGACCUCAGACAAGUAGAGCUUACAAAAGUUUUAUUGUUAUGAAGUUUUGCGAUGAAAGACACGAGGGAAGUAGAUGUGGAUGUGAAUUUUGAAAUUUGAAUCACACUAGAUUUUGGUCUAUGC
rnacentral:lncRNA from 1 species